CCAGCACAGAAUAUUCCAGGCUAACUUACCUCACAGGGCCAAGGAUAAAAUCAGCUCACGCUUGAAGCCUCUAUUUGCAGCAGCCAGCCACUGGUUUUGAGACUAAUCUUCUGAAAACAAGACCUAAAAGGGCUCUUUCCUGAAAUCUGCUGGGAAAGAACAAGUCAAGUCAUUUAUUUGAAGUGUGAGCAAGACUUGGUGAAUAUACUUUUCACAGUUUCACUUUUACAUUCUUUUGUGACGAUCAGUGUGAAAUAAAUAUGUAUGCUCAAUAUUUACACAUAUUUAUAUUUUGAAUAAAAUUGAAGAACUAUAAUGAACAAAACUGAA